AGGCAUAUAAUUAAUUAAUAAUAUCUGAUUUGCACUCAAAACUUGUCAAUCCAUAAGACUAUGUCUA
rnacentral:tRNA from 1 species